AGAAUCAACGCUGGCGGCGUGCCUAACACAUGCAAGUCGAACGAGAAAGGGGAGCAAUCCCUGAGUAAAGUGGCGACCGGGUGAGUAACACGUGACUAACCUACCCUCGAGUGUGGAAUAACAUCGGGAAACCGAUGCUAAUACCGCAUAACAUCGGCGCUUUUAAGAGAUGCCGAUCAAAGGAGCAAUCCGCUUGAGGAGGGGGUCGCGGCUGAUUAGCUAGUUGGCGGGUAACGGCCCACCAAGGCGACGACGGAUAGCC
rnacentral:rRNA from 1 species